rnacentral:rRNA from 1 species
UACGUAGGGGGCUAGCGUUGUCCGGAAUCAUUGGGCGUAAAGAGCGUGUAGGCGGCCCGGUAAGUCCGCUGUGAAAGUCGGGGGCUCAACCCUCGAAUGCCGGUGGAUACUGUCGGGCUAGAGUGCGGAAGAGGCGAGUGGAAUUCCUGGUGUAGCGGUGAAAUGCGCAGAUAUCAGGAGGAACACCGGUGGCGAAGGCGGGUCUCUGGGCAGUUACUGACGCUGAGGAGCGAAAGCAUGGGGAGCGAACAGG